AUCUAGGUUUUCCAGUCAGAACAGGAAAGCUAUGAAAUCAGCACAUUAGAGUUGAUUCACUCAUAGUCUUGUCUGACACGUCUAUAUUAAGUGUGUGUUGUGUGUUUAGCUCUUCCUGUACUGCUGGAUGUGGUCAGGGGUCCAGACCAUCUUCCUGCAGAUGAAAAGUCACAGGAAAUGCUGAGAGGGAAACUGUGCGUGCUGGAGGCUGACAGCUCCGAGGUCAAUACCCUAUUUAAGUUUGUUGAUCUUAUAUGAAGAUCGCAUCACAUCGCUUUCACUUGCACAAAAACUUCUUAGACGGAAAACCACCAUCCUCGGCACAGUCAACAAGAUUCGCCGGGAAAUUCCUCAAUCCGCUAGACACACAGAUUGCAAUGAAUUCACCAAUCAGGUGUUUUCAACCUCUGCUGCCACGCUGACGGCGUAUGCGGCAAACGGAAGAAGACAGUCUAUAUUCUUAGCAGCAUGCACAGCGUGGUUCAGACUGAUAACACCACCAAAAGGAAGCCCAACACUGUCAUCCUUUACAACACCACAAAGUGUGGCGUGGAUGUGAUGGACCAGAUGGUGCGGGAGUACACGGUCCGCAGAGGAACACGGCGCUGGCCAGUUGCCGUGUUCUAUAACAUGAUUGACAUGGCAGCACUGAAUGCACACGUGCUGUAUCAAGCAUGCACCGGGACGCAGGAAAGACGGGUGGACUUCCUGGUGGAGCUUGCAAGAGAGUUGGCUAACUCUC